rnacentral:rRNA from 1 species
AAAAACAUGUCCUUUAGAAUAUUUUUUAAGGUCUGACCUGCCCACUGAUUAAUUUGAAUGGCCGCAGUAUUUUAACUGUGCAAAGGUAGCAUAAUCAUUAGUCUUUUAAUUGAAGGCUUGUAUGAAUGGUUGGACGAAGUGCAUGCUGUUUCAUGAUAAUUUAUAAUAGAAUUUUAUUUUUUAGUUAAAAAGCUAAAAUUUUGUUUAAAGACGAGAAGACCCUAUAGAUUUUUAUAUUUAUUUAUAAUAAAAAUAUUUAGUAUAUUUAGUUUUUAUUUAUUUUAUUUAUUUUGUUGGGGUGACAUUAAAAUUUAUUUAACUUUUAUUAAAUUAAACCAAUUAUAUUUGAUUAAUUGAUCCUUUAUUAUGGAUUAUAAGAUUAAAUUACCUUAGGGAUAACAGCGUAAUUUUCUUGGAGAGUUCUUAUCGAUAAGGAAGAUUGCGACCUCGAUGUUGGAUUAAAAUUAAAAUUGGGUGUAGAAGUUCAAUUUUUAAGUCUGUUCGACUUUUAAUUUUUUACAUGAUCU